rnacentral:rRNA from 1 species
UAAGUGAAGAGUUUGAUCCUGGCUCAGAGUGAACGCUGGCGGUAGGCCUAACACAUGCAAGUCGAACGGCAGCACAGGAGAGCUUGCUCUCUGGGUGGCGAGUGGCGGACGGGUGAGGAAUACAUCGGAAUCUACUCUGUCGUGGGGGAUAACGUAGGGAAACUUACGCUAAUACCGCAUACGACCUACGGGUGAAAGUGGGGGACCGCAAGGCCUCACGCGAUUGAAUGAGCCGAUGUCGGAUUAGCUAGUUGGCGGGGUAAAGGCCCACCAAGGCGACGAUCCGUAGCUGGUCUGAGAGGAUGAUCAGCCACACUGGAACUGAGACACGGUCCAGACUCCUACGGGAGGCAGCAGUGGGGAAUAUUGGACAAUGGGCGCAAGCCUGAUCC